UACGUAGGGUGCAAGCGUUAAUCGGAAUUACUGGGCGUAAAGCGUGCGCAGGCGGUUCUAUAAGACAGAUGUGAAAUCCCCGGGCUCAACCUGGGAACUGCAUUUGUGACUGUAGAGCUGGAGUACGGGCAGAGGGGGAUGGAAUUCCGCGUGUAGCAGUGAAAUGCGUAGAUAUGCGGAGGAACACCGAUGGCGAAGGCAAUCCCCUGGGCCUGUACUGACGCUCAUGCACGAAAGCGUGGGGAGCAAACAGG
rnacentral:rRNA from 1 species